rnacentral:rRNA from 1 species
AGGACGAACGCUGGCGGCGUGCCUAACACAUGCAAGUGGAGCGACGAACCAGGCUUCGGCCUGGGGCAGAGCCGCGAACGGGUGAGUAACACGUGGGUAACCUGCCCUGAUGAUUGGGACAACCCGAGGAAACUCGGGCUAAUACCGAAUGUGCCCUCCGGCCUCAAGGCCGUUGGGGAAAGGAAGCUUCGGCCUCCGCAUCGGGAUGGGCCCGCGGCCCAUUAGCUUGUUGGUGAGGUAACGGCUCACCAAGGCAACGAUGGGUAGCUGGUCUGAGAGGACGAUCAGCCACACUGGGACUGAGACACGGCCCAGACUCCUACGGGAGGCAGCAGUGGGGAAUAUUGCGCAAUGGGCGAAAGCCUGACGCAGCGACGCCGCGUGGGGGAUGAAUGCCUUCGGGUUGUAAACCCCUUUCAGCAGGGACGAAGCGAAAGUGACGGUACCUGCAGAAGAAGCGCCGGCUAACUACGUGCCAGCAGCCGCGGU